rnacentral:rRNA from 1 species
GACGAACGCUGGCGGCGUGCCUAAUACAUGCAAGUCGUGCGGACCUUUUAAAAGCUUGCUUUUAAAAGGUUAGCGGCGGACGGGUGAGUAACACGUGGGCAACCUGCCUGUAAGACUGGGAUAACGCCGGGAAACCGGGGCUAAUACCAGAUCGUUUUUUCCUCCGCAUGGAGGAAAAAGGAAAGGCGGCUUCGGCUGCCACUUACAGAUGGGCCCGCGGCGCAUUAGCUAGUUGGCGGGGUAACGGCCCACCAAGGCAACGAUGCGUAGCCGACCUGAGAGGGUGAUCGGCCACAUUGGGACUGAGACACGGCCCAAACUCCUACGGGAGGCAGCAGUAGGGAAUCUUCCGCAAUAGACGAAAGUCUGACGGAGCAACGCCGCGUGAGUGAAGAAGGCCGUCGGGUCGUAAAACUCUGUUGCCGGGGAAGAACAAGUGCCGUUCGAACAGGGCGGCGCCUUGACGGUACCCGGCCAGAAAGCCACGGCUAACUACGUG